rnacentral:rRNA from 1 species
CCUACGGGUGGCAGCAGUAGGGAAUAUUGCUCAAUGGGGGAAACCCUGAAGCAGCAACGCCGCGUGGAGGAUGAAGGUUUUCGGAUUGUAAACUCCUUUUGUUAGAGAAGAUAAUGACGGUAUCUAACGAAUAAGCACCGGCUAACUCCGUGCCAGCAGCCGCGGUAAUACGGAGGGUGCAAGCGUUACUCGGAAUCACUGGGCGUAAAGAGCGCGUAGGCGGGAUAGCAAGUCAGAUGUGAAAUCCUAUGGCUUAACCAUAGAACUGAAUUUGAAACUGUUAUUCUAGAGUAUGGGAGAGGUGGGUGGAAUUCUGGGUGGAGGGGAAAAUUCCGGAGAAAUAAAAAGGAAAACUCAUGG